AUGCAAGUCGAGCGCUGAUUACAGGGUAGCAAUAUUCUGUGGUCGGAGCGGCGCAAGGGUGCGUAACACGUGGGUAAUCUGCCAUGAAGUUUGGAAUAACUUGCUGAAAGGCGAGCUAAUACCGGAUGUGACAAUUAGGAGGCAUCUUCCGAUUGUCAAAGCUGGGGACCGUAAGGCCUGGCGCUUCAUGAUGAGCCCGCGGCCUAUCAGCUAGUUGGUGAGGUAACGGCUCACCAAGGCUAAGACGGGUAGCUGGUCUGAGAGGACGACCAGCCACACUGGAACUGAGACACGGUCCAGACACCUACGGGUGGCAGCAGUCGAGAAUUUUUCACAAUGGGCGCAAGCCUGAUGGAGCGACGCCGCGUGGGGGAUGAAUGGCUUCGGCCCGUAAACCCCUGUCAUUUGCGAACAAAUUGGUUCAAUUAACACCUGAACCAUUGAUAGUAGCGAAAGAGGAAGGGACGGCUAACUCUGUGCCAGCAGCCGCGGUAAUACAGAGGUCCCAAGCGUUGUUCGGAUUCACUGGGCGUAAAGGGUGCGUAGGUGGUGAGGUAAGUCGGAUGUGAAAGCUCGGAGCUCAACUCCGAAAUGGCAUUGGAAACUACCUUGCUCGAGGGUUGGAGGGGGGACUGGAAUACUUGGUGUAGCAGUGAAAUGCGUAGAUAUCAAGUGGAACACCAGUG
rnacentral:rRNA from 1 species